GGAAAGAGUAGUUAACGCCUAACGGCUCAACCAACUACUGGUCGUGUGCAAACCGAUCGCUUUCCACGUGAUUAGAAGCCUGGGUUAGAUAUUGGAGGACUGCGCCAUAUGUAUAAAAUCAUCAUCAGCCGAAACUGAAAGAAAACCAGAACAGAGCAGAGUGUUCAAGUUAUUCCCCAUUUUUUGGUCUUUCUUUAUGCCAACUGAAAAUCAAAUGAAAGACAUGAAACAGAAUUCCAUAAUGGGGUCGUCAGUCACCGAAGGCGAGAUCGUGUGCGUAACAGGCGGCUCUGGGUUCAUUGGUUCAUGGCUCAUCAAGCUGCUCUUGGAACGCGGUUAUGUCGUCCGAGCCACUGUGCGCGACCCUGGUUUGUCCCUUUAUUAUUGUUUUCUAAACACUUUCUUGUCCCUCAUGAUUGGAUGAUUUAAGCAUCUUUUUUACUUGAAAAAUAGUAAAGUUUUAAUUGUUGUCGUUCAUAUUUGCUUGUUUUAUUAAUGGAGCAGACAACUCGAAGAAGGUGAAGCAUUUACUGGAGCUACCUAAAGCAGAGACGCACUUGACUAUUUGGAAAGCAGAUUUAGCUGAAGAGGGAAGCUUUGAUGAUGCAAUUCAAGGUUGUACGGGUGUGUUCCACGUGGCCACGCCUAUGGACUUCGAGUCCGAGGACCCUGAGGUAUUAUAUUAAUAUGGAAUAUGGUUUAAGAAAUGUAAUUAAAAGCCAAUCUAGUAGUAGUGUUGCGGAAGCGACGAUAAUAUUAAUAACAAUAUUAUCAGAAAUAUUUAGAUAAUUAUUAUGCCAACAAUUAUACUAAGAAAAUUCCCAGUUAAAUUGGAGGGAUCACAAAUGGUCCCGCUUAAAACCCAACAACUAGACAGAACUCACUUAGAUAUUUAUAGCAAUAAUAACUAAAUAAAUAUAACCAACAUAAAGCUAUUAAAUAUAAGCAAACAAAUAAGAAAUAAAAUACCAGAGAUUUAACGAGGUUCGGCCAAUUUAGCUUACGUCCUCGGACACUACCAAAUUAAUAUUUCUUCUAGAAAUAUUACAAAGGAGAAGAUUUUGGGAUGAUAAAACCAAAGGGGGAGGGGUUCUAUAUAUAACAAACCAAGCUCCCUCCCUUUCUAUCUUUUCCUAAUGUGGGAUAUUGCCAAUAUUCAACAAGUAGCAUAGAUUUACUUUUACAUAAGAACAUUGAAAUGACUGUUUGCUGAGUUGCAGAAUGAAGUCAUAAAACCAACAAUCAAUGGAGUGCUAAGCAUCAUGAAAGCUUGCGCCAAAGCCAAAACUGUUAGAAGGUUAGUGUUCACAUCAUC
rnacentral:lncRNA from 1 species